AGAACGAACGCUGGCGGCAUGCCUAAUACAUGCAAGUCGAACGAACUCUUCGGAGUUAGUGGCGCACGGGUGCGUAACGCGUGGGAAUCUGCCCCUUGGUUCGGAAUAACAGUUGGAAACGACUGCUAAUACCGGAUGAUGACGAAAGUCCAAAGAUUUAUCGCCCAAGGAUGAGCCCGCGUAGGAUUAGCUUGUUGGUGAGGUAAGAGCUCACCAAGGCGACGAUCCUUAGCUGGUCUGAGAGGAUGAUCGAGCCACACGUGGGACUGAGACACGGCCCAGACUCCCGUAGGAGCAGCAGGUGGGAAUAGUUGGACAAGUGGGACGAAAGCCGUGAUACCAGCAAUGCCGCGUGGAGUGGAGUAGGAACGGUCCGUUUAAGGGGUUACGUUAAA
rnacentral:rRNA from 1 species